rnacentral:rRNA from 1 species
CAGCCGCCGCGGUAAUACGAAGGGGGCUAGCGUUGUUCGGAAUUACUGGGCGUAAAGCGCACGUAGGCGGAUAUUUAAGUCAGGGGUGAAAUCCCGCAGCUCAACUGCGGAACUGCCUUUGAUACUGGGUAUCUUGAGUAUGGAAGAGGUAAGUGGAAUUGCGAGUGUAGAGGUGAAAUUCGUAGAUAUUCGCAGGAACACCAGUGGCGAAGGCGGCUUACUGGUCCAUUACUGACGCUGAGGUGCGAAAGCGUGGGGAGCAAACAGGAUUAGAUACCCCCGUAGUCCCUGUCUCUUAUAC